GAUGAACGCUAGCGGCAGGCCUAACACAUGCAAGUCGAGGGAGAAGCCUUCGGGCUGAAACCGGCGCACGGGUGCGUAACGCGUAUACAAUCUACCUUUCACAUAGGGAUAGCCCGAAGAAAUUUGGAUUAAUACCUAAUGGUAUAUAGGAGCGGCAUCGUUUUUAUAUUAAAGCUACGGUGGUGAAAGAUGAGUAUGCGUUCUAUUAGCUAGUUGGAGAGGUAACGGCUCCCCAAGGCGACGAUAGAUAGGGGUUCUGAGAGGGAUGUCCCCCACACUGGUACUGAGAUACGGACCAGACUCCUACGGGAGGCAGCAGUGAGGAAUAUUGGACAAUGGUCGGAAGACUGAUCCAGCCAUGCCGCGUGCAGGAUGAAGGUCCUAUGGAUUGUAAACUGCUUUUGUAAGGGAAGAAUAAGGAGUACGUGUACUUUGAUGACGGUACCUACGAA
rnacentral:rRNA from 1 species